ACAUUUAGGAGUCAGAGGACAACUUUCUUGGGCAUCGGUUUUCUCCUUCCACCAUGUUGGCCCGGUCCCUAGGAUUGAACUCAGGUCUUCAGGCUUGGCAGAAGUACUUUUACCGCCAAGCCACCUUACUGGUUGCGUUCGUAAAAGUGCUAGGUCCUCACAUUAACAUUUAACUUCCAUGGAUAUUGGAGACACUGAGCACAUUUUGAAAGCUUUGUUAUCCUUAUUUCUUUCCAUCUUUGAGAAUUCAUUAAAAAGUAUCUUCUGGCUUGAGAAGCCUGCCAAAGCAUUGGUUGGUCUUUGUUAGCAAAGCCUUAAACCUCAGAUGAUACUAGUUAACAGCCAACCCCCAUUUUAAUAAAGCGCUAAUUUCUAUACAGUGGUCAAUGCAGUUGAUUGAGUGUAGUGUUCUUAUUUACUCCUUUAAAUACUAGCAUUUUCUAAUGUUUAAAAUAUUAGCGAAGGGAUAUGAGAGCCAUUUAACUUCUUCCUUACAGCACUGGGCUCCCCCCUUUUUUCCCUGUGCUAUCCUACAUCGACUAGGGUAAAAGUUAAGUAGUGACUGCCUUAAGAAUUUACUUUGAGGAAAUAGACUAGACGUUCCCUUCAGGGAUCUGAGCUAGGAGGUGAGUUGCAGCAACUGCGCUGCUCGCUCUCUCUCUGGCCAGCUGUGUCGGAACACUGCCCACCCACUCAGUCCAUCCCUGUCCCAACCUUUAAGGACAGGUCUAAGGCACAUACUGAGCUCUUGUCGUAUUGCAAGUCUUUAUCACAAACACAACGAUACUUCUUAGUUUUUCUUACAAUUCUAGUCACAAAGUACUUUUGCUGAAACGGUGCAUUUUAAAUUUUUUUUUUUUAAUUAAGGAAUGAGAGUUUGGUUCAGGAAGGAGAUGGCUCAGCAGGUAAAGAGGACUUCCCAGUCCUCCCUCCUAAGCUUGGAUCCCUGAGAUGGACAGGGAGAAAGGAGAGCAUAGGUUGCCCUCUGUCCUCGGCACUUUAAACUGGCACAAGUGUGCUCCCUACCCUGAAGUAAAUAUGAAAUUUGAUAAAUUUUUAAGAAGUUGGUAGGCAAUACAGCUGCAUAGUUGUUGCACAAUUUAAGGAAAUUUGAUUUUUAGAAAGUAUUGGGGUUUGGUGGUACAUACCUUUAAUUCCAGGGCCUGGGAGAUAGAGGCAGAUGGGUCUCUGAGUUCAAGGCCAGCCUGCCUGGUCUACCGAUGGAGCUCUGGCUAUGUAAAGAACUGUGGAGACGAUGCCUGGGAACUGAUGGGAAGAACACUGUCUUUGGGAUGCUAAGCAUGGUCUUAAACCGUGAUAGCUGAUGUCAGAACUUAAGGGUGUGCUUCUGGGCAGAUAACUACAUACAAAAAUAAGUUAUAGUGGUUUUUGUUUGUGUUUGUGUAUUUGUGGUCUUAAGAUCUCUCUCUGUAUCCAAGGCUGGUCUGGAACUCUCUCUGUAGCAUAGGCUAGGUUGGAAAUAGGUAUCUGCCCACCCCAUCCCAUCCCUGCUGAGACACCACUAGUCUUUGCUUAUGUGGCCAUUUAAAAAAAUAAUUUUAUGUCUGUUGUCUCUAGUGAUAAAACAUGGGGUCUUUCUUUGGCCAACUUUCUAGAAACUUAAUCGUGCAUCAGAUUGUUAGUCCAAGCACACUGGCCUGGCAUGUGCAGUGCCCUGGGCGUUACUUCCAACCAACAAAAAGAUAAGGAGGCGCCUUCUGAGGCUGUGCUGCAGAGAGCUGAAUUCAUUAAGAAUAAGGUCUUGCUAGUCUACACUGUCGUUUAGCACUUUAGGACUUCAUGGGUGGAGAGUAAAUGAUGAGAGUAAAUGCCGGCCUAGUGGUGCACAUCUUUACUCCUCGCGCUUGGAGGGCAGAGGCAGUCAGAUCUCUGUGAGUUUGAGGCUAGCCUGUUCUUCAUAGCAGAUUCCAGGGCAAACCAGGGCUGCACAAUGAGACUCUGUCUCAGAAUCAAAAUAAUUAAAAUGCUAGGAAUUCAGUUUACUUCAUGGGUUCUGGAUGUAGCCUUCUCAGUGGAAGUUACACCCCUUCUUGUAUAAUGGAAAGAUUGUUCAUAAAAACCUAAAAUCUUAGUGUAGGAGGAUUUGAUUCAUAUAGCCAAACAAGGCACAUGGAAAGG
rnacentral:lncRNA from 1 species